rnacentral:rRNA from 1 species
UUAAGUUAAUAAGGGCGCACGGUGGAUGCCUUGGCACUAGGAGCCGACGAAGGACGUGACAAACGACGAUAUGCCUUGGGUAGCUGUAAGUAAGCGAUGAUCCAGGGAUUUCCGAAUGGGGGAACCCAACAGGUAAUACCUGUUACCUACAUCUGUUAAGGAUGUGAGGAGGAAGACGCAGUGAACUGAAACAUCUAAGUAGCUGCAGGAAGAGAAAGCAAAAGCGAUUGCCUUAGUAGCGGCGAGCGAAACGGCAGAAGGGCAAACCGAAGAGUUUACUCUUCGGGGUUGUAGGACUGCAAUGUGGACUCAAAGAUUAUAGAAGAAUGAUUUGGGAAGAUCAGCCAAAGAGAGUAAUAGCCUCGUAUUUAAAAUAGUCUUUGUACUUAGCAGUAUCCUGAGUACGGCGGGACACGUGAAAUCCCGGCGGAAUCUGGGAGGACCAUCUCCCAACCCUAAAUACUCCCUAGUGACCGAUAGUGAACCAGUACCGUGAGGGAAAGGUGAAAAGCACCCCGGGAGGGGAGUGAAAUAGAACCUGAAACCGUGUGCCUACAACAAGUUCGAGCCCGUUAAUGGGUGAGAGCGUGCCUUUUGUAGAAUGAACCGGCGAGUUACGUUAUGAUGCGAGGUUAAGUUGAAGAGACGGAGCCGUAGGGAAACCGAGUCUGAAUAGGGCGCCUUAGUAUCAUGACGUAGACCCGAAACCAUGUGACCUACCCAUGAGCAGGUUGAAGGUGCGGUAAGACGCACUGGAGGACCGAACCAGGGCACGUUGAAAAGUGCUUGGAUGACUUGUGGGUAGCGGAGAAAUUCCAAACGAACUUGGAGAUAGCUGGUUCUCUCCGAAAUAGCUUUAGGGCUAGCGUCGACAUUAGAGAUUCUUGGAGGUAGAGCACUGUUUGGGUGAGGGGUCCAUCCCGGAUUACCAAUCUCAGAUAAACUCCGAAUGCCAAUGAAUUAUGGUCGGCAGUCAGUCUGCGGGUGCUAAGAUCCGUAGUCGAAAGGGAAACAGCCCAGACCACCAGCUAAGGUCCCAAAAUAAUUGUUAAGUGGAAAAGGAUGUGGGGUUGCACAGACAACUAGGAUGUUAGCUUAGAAGCAGCUAUUCAUUCAAAGAGUGCGUAAUAGCUCACUAGUCGAGUGACCCUGCGCCGAAAAUGUACCGGGGCUAAAACAAUUUACCGAAGCUGUGGAUACCUUUAUAGGUAUGGUAGGAGAGCGUUCUAUGUGUGAUGAAGGUAUACCGUGAGGAGUGCUGGAACGCAUAGAAGUGAGAAUGCCGGUAUGAGUAGCGAAAGACAGGUGAGAAUCCUGUCCACCGUAAGACUAAGGUUUCCAGGGGAAGGCUCGUCCGCCCUGGGUUAGUCGGGACCUAAGGAGAGACCGAAAGGUGUAUCCGAUGGACAACAGGUUGAUAUUCCUGUACUAGAGUAUGUAGUGAUGGAGGGACGCAGUAGGCUAACUAAAGCAGACGAUUGGAAGAGUCUGUCUAAGCAGUGAGGUGUGAAUUGAGUCAAAUGCUUAAUUCUAUAACAUUGAGCUGUGAUGGGGAGCGAAGUUUAGUAGCGAAGUUAGUGACGUCACACUGCCAAGAAAAGCUUCUAGCGUUUAAACAUACUCUACCCGUACCGCAAACCGACACAGGUAGUCGAGGCGAGUAGCCUCAGGUGAGCGAGAGAACUCUCGUUAAGGAACUCGGCAAAAUGACCCCGUAACUUCGGGAGAAGGGGUGCUGACUUAAAGUCAGCCGCAGUGAAUAGGCCCAAGCAACUGUUUAUCAAAAACACAGCUCUCUGCUAAAUCGUAAGAUGAUGUAUAGGGGGUGACGCCUGCCCGGUGCUGGAAGGUUAAGAGGAGUGCUUAGCGUAAGCGAAGGUAUGAAUUGAAGCCCCAGUAAACGGCGGCCGUAACUAUAACGGUCCUAAGGUAGCGAAAUUCCUUGUCGGGUAAGUUCCGACCCGCACGAAAGGCGUAAUGAUUUGGGCACUGUCUCAACGAGAGACUCGGUGAAAUUUUAGUACCUGUGAAGAUGCAGGUUACCCGCGACAGGACGGAAAGACCCCAUGGAGCUUUACUGCAGUUUGAUAUUGAGUGUCUGUACCACAUGUACAGGAUAGGUAGGAGUCUAAGAGAUCGGGACGCCAGUUUCGAAGGAGACGCUGUUGGGAUACUACCCUUGUGUUAUGGCCACUCUAACCCAGAUAGGUGAUCCCUAUCGGAGACAGUGUCUGACGGGCAGUUUGACUGGGGCGGUCGCCUCCUAAAAGGUAACGGAGGCGCCCAAAGGUUCCCUCAGAAUGGUUGGAAAUCAUUCGCAGAGUGUAAAGGUAUAAGGGAGCUUGACUGCGAGAGCUACAACUCGAGCAGGGACGAAAGUCGGGCUUAGUGAUCCGGUGGUUCCGUAUGGAAGGGCCAUCGCUCAACGGAUAAAAGCUACCCUGGGGAUAACAGGCUUAUCUCCCCCAAGAGUUCACAUCGACGGGGAGGUUUGGCACCUCGAUGUCGGCUCGUCGCAUCCUGGGGCUGUAGUCGGUCCCAAGGGUUGGGCUGUUCGCCCAUUAAAGCGGCACGCGAGCUGGGUUCAGAACGUCGUGAGACAGUUCGGUCCCUAUCCGUCGCGGGCGUAGGAAAUUUGAGAGGAUCUGCUCCUAGUACGAGAGGACCAGAGUGGACUUACCGCUGGUGUACCAGUUGUCUUGCCAAAGGCAUCGCUGGGUAGCUAUGUAGGGAAGGGAUAAACGCUGAAAGCAUCUAAGUGUGAAACCCACCUCAAGAUGAGAUUUCCCAUGAUUAUAUAUCAGUAAGAGCCCUGAGAGAUGAUCAGGUAGAUAGGUUAGAAGUGGAAGUGUGGCGACACAUGUAGCGGACUAAUACUAAUAGCUCGAGGACUUAUCCAA